AGCACAGCUGGGUAGCUAUGUGCGGAAGGGAUAAGCGCUGAAAGCAUCUAAGCGUGAAGCCCCCCUCAAGAUGAGAUUUCCCAUCGCGUCAAGCGAGUAAGAUCCCUUGAAGAUGACAAGGUUGAUAGGUCCGAGGUGGAAGCGUGGCGACACGUGCAGCUGACGGAUACUAAUCGAUCGAGGACUUAACUAA
rnacentral:rRNA from 1 species